rnacentral:rRNA from 1 species
AUGGCAUGGACGCGAGAGACACUUCGGACACGGUGCAAACAAAAGGGUGCAUCUCGUACAUCGCAAGCAUUCAUCCACGGGGUCAUCGGCUCGGCGGUUAUACCUUCGAAGUGCGCAGUUCGGGACGGUUCGGUAGUCGUUCGGGCGUCGUGGAAGAAUUUGACGUUCACGGGGUCCCGGGCUUGGCCAUGGAGAGGGGCGCAACCCACACAAGGAGGGGAGGCCGUGGUGGGUGCGCUGGGCCUGCGCGUGCAGCGGUCAACGGGGUUGGGUCAUUGCUCGAUGCGGCUCGGUGCUGCUAGUCGUCUCCUUCACCAGGAGACAGAAGAAGGCAUGGCGGCAGGGCAAAGUAGAGGGCGACCAAGGGGGAUGGCGCUGGUCGUCACGGAGCGGGUGAGGAGGCAGGGGCUCGGAGACUCGCGCGAUGCAAUGGAGCUUGGCAUGACUCCAGUGAGGGGCCGGUGGCGGGGGCGGCGGCCAUGGCAGGGCUCGAGCUCCUGUUGCUGGUCGGACAAUGAGGGGUGGUGA